CCUACGGGAGGCAGCAGUGGGGAAUAUUGCACAAUGGGGGAAACCCUGAUGCAGCGACGCCGCGUGAGCGAUGAAGUAUUUCGGUAUGUAAAGCUCUAUCAGCAGGGAAGAAGAUGACGGUACCUGACUAAGAAGCCCCGGCUAACUACGUGCCAGCAGCCGCGGUAAUACGUAGGGGGCAAGCGUUAUCCGGAUUUACUGGGUGUAAAGGGAGCGUAGACGGCGGUGCAAGCCAGAUGUGAAAGCCCGGGGCUCAACCCCGGGACUGCAUUGGAAACUGUGCGGCUAGAGUGUAGGAGAGGCAAGCGGAAUUCCUAGUGUAGCGGUGAAAUGCGUAGAUAUUAGGAGGAACACCAGUGGCGAAGGCGGCCUGCUGGACGAUGACUGACGUUGAGGCUCGAAAGCGUGGGGAGCAAACAGGAUUAGAUACCCUAGUAGUC
rnacentral:rRNA from 1 species